UUUCCGUAGGUGAACCUGCGGAAGGAUCAUUAACGAGUAAGGGUCAUUCUGGCCCGACCUCAAACCCUUUGUUUAAUUACUAUGUUGCUUUGGCGCCCCCGUUUCACGACCGCCGGACGUCCUCGGUCUUCUCGCCCGUGCCCGCCAAUAACCUUUUACAAACUCUUGAUCAAUUGUAAUGUCUGAGAAAUAAAUUUAAUAGUUAAAACUUUCAACAACGGAUCUCUUGGUUCUG
rnacentral:misc_RNA from 1 species